GAUGAACGCUGGCGGCGUGCUUAACACAUGCAAGUCGAACGGUGAAAGCGGAGCUUGCUCCGCUGGAUCAGUGGCGAACGGGUGAGUAACACGUGGGCAACCUGCCCCUCACUUCGGGAUAACUCCGGGAAACCGGGGCUAAUACCGGAUAUGACCUCCUUGGGCAUCCUUGGAGGUGGAAAGUUUUUCGGUGAGGGAUGGGCCCGCGGCCUAUCAGCUUGUUGGUGAGGUAGUGGCUCACCAAGGCGACGACGGGUAGCCGGCCUGAGAGGGCGACCGGCCACACUGGGACUGAGACACGGCCCAGACUCCUACGGGAGGCAGCAGUGGGGAAUAUUGCACAAUGGGCGCAAGCCUGAUGCAGCGACGCCGCGUGAGGGAUGAAGGUCUUCGGAUUGUAAACCUCUUUCAGUAGGGACGAAGCGAAAGUGACGGUACCUAAAGAAGAAGCACCGGCUAACUACGUGCCAGCCGCCGCAGUAA
rnacentral:rRNA from 1 species